GAAAGGAGCCUGAUCUCACAAAUGACAAAAGCUUUAUCCUCGGGCCUUCAGAGUUUCAAAUAAAGAGAGUGAGCACAGAUCUGAGAAAGUGAGAGAUGAGAGACACAGAGAGAAGGUCAGGAAAUUCUAACCCUCCGAACCAAGCUUCAUCAGAUCUAUGCCAAAGGAGAAGGGCUCAUACGGCCGAACAAUGGCAUUGGCUCUGUGAUCGGAGCCUUCGUUUUUGACCAGAUUCACGAGCAUGAAGAAAGAGAGAUUUAACGCUUCGAUGCGAUUCUUGUUUCGCGAGAUUUAACGCCUCGAUGGCCGCCAUGGCUUCUACGUCAGAGGUAGUCCUACUGUCCUAGCCGGGCGAGCACGAUCGGAUCCGUUCAAGAGCUUGUCGUUGAAAUGGCGUGGGAAUUAACAGCAACACCGGAGAUCUGAUGGGGCUAGGUAUGGGAAUUCCAGGACCCGUCAAAGUUGAUUUUGAAAUUUAGGGUUUAAUUAGGUUUAUGAUUUAGCGAGUUCAUUGAUUUUGAUUUGAUGGAGCGAAAGGGAUGAGGGAUUUGUAGGUCCGUCAAAGUUGAUUUUGAAAUUUAGGGUUUACUUAGGUUUAUGGUUUAGCGAGAUCAUUGAUUUUGUUUUGAUAGAGCGAAAGGGCUGAGUAAUUAGGUCAAUCUUUAAUUCAAUGCAUUAACGAGUGUGCUGUUUGCUUUCAGGUCCUCCAUGGCAGCUUGCUCAAGAUGCGAUGUGCAUUGAUAGAGGCACUGACAGCUGGGCUUCCAUAUCUUUAAGGUUUUACUCCUUACUCAUUCAAGCAUAGAUGUUUCUCUUUUGUAAAAUAUCAUUCCUUUUUAGUUUUUAAAUGGAACCAAAAUUUAAAUUAAAAAAAAGAGUUUUCAGGGGCAAAUAUCAUAUUAUUGAAAUCUUAACGAUAUCACAUGAUAGAAUAGAAAUGGGAGCGCUUUGAAAUAUUAUGUUAUUGUUGAAUGAUAUAUCAGCUCGAGGGAUGAUAGUGUGUUAAGAACUAAACUGAUGUAGUUUAUUUUUCUAGUUGGUAGUAAUUCUGAAUAUUUACAGGUGUUUAUCAGUAGGAAAUGUUGAGGAAAAGAACGUUGUAAAUAUAAAAAUGUAGUCACCCGGUGGAUAAACAAUUUGUUCUUCCUAUGAGUUUGCAACGUCUAUUACUUUUAAUAAACAGUUUGUUCUCCCCAUGGAUACUUCUUUUGUUGAUAUAACAAGUCUCGUGUUUCUGUUGUUAUAUUUUCUAGUUGGUAGCAUCAAUCUUAUUUUGAUAUAAUAACUCAUCAAAACUAUUUAUCAUUCAUUUGUAGCAAUAGAGUUUUUAAAAAUAUUUCUUCGGUAGGUUGUAUUCUGGUAUGCUAUCAAUAUAGUGGUCAUCCCACACCAAAUAUUCUUUGCCAUAUAUUACAUUUUAAAUAUUUUGUAUGUUUUUUGGUUGUUGAUGUAAGAAAUGUUCUUCCUACGAAUGCCACUACUUGCAUUUUAUUAAAAAAAAUUGUUAUUCUAUAGCUUUUUUUAUAUCAUUUUAAAUUACGAACUUUGUCCACUUUUUAACAACAUUAGUUGUUCCUGAAAUGUUGCUAGAGUCUGUUAUUGUUAGCUUAUUAUUUGAUAAGUAGUUUUGAGGAUUGCUGCUUCUUCCAGUGACGUGCAAGAAGUUUCAUAAUGUUUUUUGUGUGUGUUCGUUUGUUAGUGUUAUACUUUGAUAUGUUUGUUUGUUGUGUUGCACACUUGCACACUUGCACAUUUAGUAUUCAGAAGUUUCAUAAUGUAUUUUUUGUUAGUUCGUUUGUUAGUGUGGUACUUUGAUACGUUUGUUUCUUGUGUUGCACGCUUGCACAUUCAGUAUUCUUAACUUCUGCUUCGGUUCAGUUUUGCACAGUGACCAUCUGGUUUAUUCCAGUCUUAUUCCAAUUGUGGUUAUUAUUAUUUCUGAUUAUCAAUCUAUCUAAUUUUGUUGUUAAUUUUGUCCAAUUAUUUCUUAUUAAUUGUUUAACUGUUUUUUUUCCCCAGGAAAUCUAAAACCGGAGGCUAGCAGGAUUUCACCUCAAAUUCCUUUUUUAUUUUUUUCUUUUGCUGUUUUGAUCUCAUUUCAAUGAAAAGAAGCCUGUACAAUAUAAAUCUUUUUAUUUGAGUGCUGCGGAUUGUAAUUAAUAUUUGUAUGCAUGCUUUUCUUUUUCUACUGUGCCAAAAGAUAAUUCACUAUUAAAUUGGGC
rnacentral:lncRNA from 1 species